GAUCAUCUUUCUCUCGAGAUGCAUUAAAGCUUUGCUGCAGAAGGAUCCGAGUGUGUCCUGUGUGUGUGUGUCCUCGCCGGUGAGACUCCUUAUCACACAGAUGCAUCUGGUGCCGAAAUCCCAGGAAUUCUACAACAUUUCCGGCACUGAGGAGACCCACCGGAAACGGGGCAGGUCCAGAACUGCAGUGGAAGGAGGAAGAUAAUCCCUUUUGGAUUCCAGAGCGCCUCACUUGAAGGAUCCAGCUCUUGGACAAUGAGUCACAGGAACAAGAUCCCAAGACAUUGAUGGAUUGUACUCCUCAUGCUGGAGAAUUGGACCAUGGAAUUUGAGCAAAUGCUUUGAGAGUUGAGAGUUGCUAUUCUACAAGUAAAUUCUACGCAUCUCGACCUUUCACUGACGAAGGGCUUCUCCACCUGGAUUUCCUCUGCAUUUUCCUACUUUAAGGACACAAGCCAUUGCCUUCACCUCCUCAUGGGCAGUGAUGUUCACAUUGGAGUAUGUAAUAAGAAUGGGCAGACAGCUGAAGAUCUUGCUUGGUCAUGUGGCUUUCCAGAAUGUGCCAUGUUUUUAACAAUGAUUAAAUGUAUGCAGAUGGCAAAAUCAUCAGGUGAGCACCCAGAGCAUGACCCCCUUGCUCCUGUGCCGAGACAGAAUUAGAGUUUCAGGACUGUGGAGAGCAGAGUGAUGAAGAGAACAUAUUGAUGUCAUGUUGGACAAGAGGAAAGGAGAGGCUUGAAGAAGAGCUUCACUUCAGACAGAUGUACAAACCAUCAAAUGGCUUAUCAUAUGGCGAAUCUCCUGAGGAGGAAAACUUUCUUCUAAGUGAAGAGAAUAUUCAUGAGUACAUGCGUUUAUAUGACUACAAUAUUUUGGAUAUGAAUGGUUCUUUUUUACUUAACUUAUUAAAAAAUAUUUAAGGAAAAUAAAAGUAAUUUGAUUUUUAUAACAAUCUAUGAAAA